GGUGGCUCAGUGGUUAAGUGCUAGGCUGCUAACCAAAAGGUUGGUGGUUCGAACCCACCAGCCA
rnacentral:tRNA from 1 species